GUAAAAAUGCCAGAGGUAAAAUGGGUUUGGUUUAGGACUAAAUUACGACAUUAUGUCUUUUUACU
rnacentral:tRNA from 1 species